UACGAAGGGGGCUAGCGUUGCUCGGAAUCACUGGGCGUAAAGGGUGCGUAGGCGGGUCUUUAAGUCAGGGGUGAAAUCCUGGAGCUCAACUCCAGAACUGCCUUUGAUACUGAGGAUCUUGAGUUCGGGAGAGGUGAGUGGAACUGCGAGUGUAGAGGUGAAAUUCGUAGAUAUUCGCAAGAACACCAGUGGCGAAGGCGGCUCACUGGCCCGAUACUGACGCUGAGGCACGAAAGCUAGGGUAGCAAACGGGGAUUAAGAA
rnacentral:rRNA from 1 species